AUUCCAGCUCCAAUAGCGUAUAUUAUUAUUGUUGCGGUUAAAAAGCUCGUAGUUGGAUCUCGGUUUCGGGCGAGCGGUGUACCUUGCGGUAUUUACUGUUUGCCCGGACGAUUUUGUUGGUUCGUUUAUGGUUCUCUUAACCGAGUGCCAUAAGUGGCCAGCACGUUUACUUUGAAAAAAUUGGAGUGCUCAAAGCAGGCGCUACAGCCUGAACAUUAGUGCAUGGAAUAAUGGAAUAGGAUCUCGGUUCUAUUUCGUUGGCUUUCGGAGUCGAGGUAAUGAUUAAUAGGGACAGACGGGGGCAUUCGUACUGCGACGUUAGAGGUGAAAUUCUUGGAUCGUCGCAAGACGAACUACUGCGAAAGCAUUUGCCAAGAAUGUUUUCAUUAAUCAAGAACGAAAGUUAGAGGUUCGAAGGCGAUCAGAUACCGCCCUAGUUCUAACCAUAAACGAUGUCGACCGGCGAUCCGUUAUCGUUAACUGAAUGACUUAACGGGCAGCCUCCGGGAAACCAGAGUGUUUGGAUUCCGGGGGAAGUAUGGUUGCAAAGCUGAAACUUAAAAGAAUUGACGGAAGGGCACCACCAGGAGUGGAGCCUGCGGCUUAAUUUGACUCAACACGGGAAAUCUCACCAGGCCCGGACACCGGAAGGAUUGACAGAUUGAGAGCUCUUUCUUGAUUCGGUGGGUGGUGGUGCAUGGCCGUUCUUAGUUGGUGGAGCGAUUUGUCUGGUUAAUUCCGAUAACGAACGAGACUCUGGCCUACUAACUAGACGUUAGAUCCCUUUGUGGGUCUAUCGCAGCUUCUUAGAGGGACGGGCGGCGUUUAGCCGCACGAGAUUGAGCAAUAACAGGUCUGUGAUGCCCUUAGAUGUUCUGGGCUGCACGCGCGCUACACUGAAGGAAUCAGCGUGUGUUCCCUACCCGAAAGGGUUGGGAAACCCGUUGAACCUCCUUCGUGAUGGGGAUUGGGGAUUGCAAUUAUUCCCCAUGAACGAGGAAUUCCCAGUAGGCGCGAGUCAUAAGCUUGCGUCGAUUACGUCCCUGCCCUUUGUACACACCGCCCGUCGCUACUACCGAUCGAGUGAUUUAGUGAGGCCUUCGGACUGGUCUUCAGUAUGGCUUUCGGGUCGUGUUGGAGUACCGGAAAGAUGACCAAACUUGAUCACUUAGAGGAAGUAAAAGUCGUAACAAGGUUUCCGUAGGAACCUGCGGAAG
rnacentral:rRNA from 1 species